rnacentral:rRNA from 1 species
CGCAUCUGUGCAUGCAGCAUAUCAAUAAGCGGAGGAAAAGAAACUAACAAGGAUUCCCCUAGUAACGGCGAGUGAAGCGGGAAGAGCUCAAAUUUGAAAUCUUAAAGGGUUUCCCUUUACGAAUUGUAGUUUAAAGAAGUGUUUUCUGUUGAGGUUUUGGUAAAAGUUCUUUGGAAUAGGACAUCAUAGAGGGUGAGAAUCCCGUAUUUGACCUUUACUUCAACUUUGUGAUACACUUUCAAAGAGUCGGAUUGUUUGGGAAUGCAGUCCAAAAUGGGUGGUAAAUUUCAUCUAAAGCUAAAUAUUGGCGAGAGACCGAUAGCGAACAAGUACCGUGAGGGAAAGAUGAAAAGAACUUUGAAAAGAGAGUUAAACAGUACGUGAAAUUGUCAAAAGGGAAGCGUUUGACACCAGUGUUGUUUUUCUGAAAAUCAAUUAAAGAACUGUUUAUGCUAAGUUGUUUAGACUUUAUCAGCUAACUGUUUAGUUUUGAGCUUUUCUUUAAUGCACUUUUCAGUUAACAAGUCAACAUCAAUUUCUUUUGCUGUAAAAAAGCUUGAGGAAGGUGGCUUGAGAUUCGUCUUAAGUGUUUAUAGCCUCUUGCCUAUGCAGUCGGAGAGAUUGAGGUCUGCAGCGUAGAUCCUUCGGGGCUAAAUGCAUUUGUGCUAAGUUAUAACAUUUUAUAGACAACUUGUUGACUAUGAUUUGUCUUGUAGCUUACUCGCUUAUGUUAUUUUACCUACGCUUAGGAUGUUGAACGCGCACAGAGUCUC